rnacentral:rRNA from 1 species
CCUACGGGGGGCAGCAGUGAGGGAUAUUGGUCAAUGGGGGAAACCCUGAACCAGCAACGCCGCGUGAGGGAAGACGGUUUUCGGAUUGUAAACCUCUGUCCUCUGUGAAGAUAAUGACGGUAGCAGAGGAGGAAGCUCCGGCUAACUACGUGCCAGCAGCCGCGGUAAUACGUAGGUGGCAAGCGUUGUCCGGAAUUACUGGGUGUAAAGGGAGCGUAGGCGGGAAGACAAGUUGAAUGUUUAAACUAUCGGCUCAACCGAUAAUCGCGUUCAAAACUGUUUUUCUUGAGUG